AGAAAUAUGUUCCACUGUGAAGGAAAAGCCGGGCUGGGCCUACUUGUAAAUCUAAGUGUAACAAGUGUCGGAUUACUGAUCUGAGUUCUGCUGGGCUAACUGGUAAAUCUAAGUUAAUAAGUGUCGGUUAGCUGAUUCCCUGCUCAUUUUCUUUUUUUGCUAGCCAGUUAGAUUUUCAGAGAGACAUAUCUGGCCUUGGAAUGUUAGUUUGCUGCCUCCCUGCCUCCUCUUUUGUGAUCAUGAUGCUGCUAAAGCUGUUCCACGCCUAUUGGCUGAAAACCCCAAGCUUGUACUUUACCCUAUAAAACCUCAUGCGCACGUCUUGGAGGUGCUCAGAGCUUCGGAGCAGAAGCCCCUCUGAGCCUGCUGGCGUAAUACAUCUGAGUACUCCAACCCUCCGAGUGGUGCUUGUUUCUUGCUGGCCUCUCAUUUCCGUAACAUUUCUGGAGGCCCCAGCGAGAUUCAACCACGCCGGCCCCUUGAGCCACUGGACUGGUGGCUCCAGCCGACUAGGGGACCGGACUUCAGCAGGGAACGAGGUGGUGCCGCCUGACGAUAAUUCCGGGUUCUCCUUCGUGACGGUGACUCGGCCCCCUGUGUGGCUGGGCUACAACCAGAGCCAGACUCGGUGGAGGGAAGGACAGACUCACCAGGUGGCCGUCCGGACAAGCUCUGCUGUUUGGGCCCUGUGUCCUGAACUUCCUGACCUGCUUUGCCAGUGAGCGGAUAGAGGCUAUGAAACUCCAGAUGUUAGCCUCCAAUUAUGAGCCCCUGCAACAGGACACAAUUGGAAACAGUGAUUAUAUUACCAAGGCUUUGAUGGGAACGUCCUACUUGAGUACAUGCAAAGAAUCACAUAUGACCAGACCGCUUUAAGGAACUAAGACUGACUUAAUGGAACCAAUAAAGCCCCUUGGAAAAACAGCCUGAUACCUUACUUACACGGUUCCCAGCAGCCUUACCAGGUGAGAAAGGAAGGUCACUUCCUGGCAGGGACAGGAACCUCAGAACAGUCUAAGGACCCUAAAAAGAGAGGAAUUAGCCCAAAUCUAUAAGUGCAGCAAGCAAAGUCUGAUGGUAAGUCCUUGACUUGACUUCCUAGCCUUGAGAGGCUUUUAAAAAUCCAGUUUGAGCUUUCUCAUUAAAAAAUCCAACAAACAGAUUAAAAGAUUAUAUACGAUUAAUCACUAUGUUUGCUACCCUUAUGCAAAUAAUCAAGCCAUGUUUUUUGAAACUAGACUUAACUUGCAAACAAAUUCACCUCACUGUGGUUAUCUGUGAUGGAAAUGUGGUGACUGUAGAGAGAAAAGUUGUGUUUCAGUAGACACCAUAAUACAUACAUGUGGAUAUUAGAUUCUAGUUCUGUGAAUUGACUUUGAGAUUUUGUUUUCUACCUGUAAACAACCUGUACCUGGACUAGAUCUUGAACUUGUCCAGUUUCCUCCAAUAUUUGGCUAUUGUCCACACUAACACUUCCUAUUUUCCCCCCUCACCCUUCUGCCUUGGAAAAAUUGAAAACUAAAACUGCCCUUUUCCUCAAAGCCAUGGAAACUAAAGUUGGACAAUUUGAUACAAAAUCCACAACAGCUCAUGCAUGGACAAUCUGCACGCCUGUUGCUGCAGGGUCACUCAGAAAAAGCACCAGAGACAUUCAAACUACAAACCAAGAAAACCCGUCAGAUUGCCAUGGCCUGCCUCCACUCCAUCCGAAGAUUCUCUGAGCCCAACAUCUAGAAAUCUUCCAACUGGCUGCCUUCAGACCUCAGAAACCGGGACUGUCAUCUGCUCCAGUCAUUAAUGCAUUGUUUUCCCUUUGUUUCCAUAGAAAUGCCUUAUUAAAUACCUAAUUUCUCAUGCAAUAUAGGCCUAACUUGGGGAGACCGGCUGCAUCACCACCUCCUAAAAAUGAGACACAACUGUUCAACUGCAAUGACCUAUUUUCAAGACUAUGAGAUUAAUUCAAUGAAAUCAUGAAACAAUCAGCCAGCUCUGCUUUUCAUGUGUGAAACUUCCAGGGAAUUUUCGGAGCAGGGGGCUGAUGGCGUUCGGGGCAGGCUGCCCCAGGGCGUGCCACUUGGGCAUGUAGAUUAUUUCACGCUGAAGACAGUCAAUGCCCAAUGGGCCCAACAGGGGCUUUUCAUCUCUCCCUUAACUGCCUAAAAGAAUUCAGAUCGGGGGCCUGGUCCAGGAAGAGAACUAUCCCCAGAAAGAGCUACAAAGAGUAUGGUCUACGUGUGGUAAACUGUGGGGGAGCUCGCCAGGGUCUGUUUGUUCAAACUCCUCUCUGUACCCCGUUGUCUUUGCAUGGCCUGGCGACCAUUUGUCUACCAAACGCUUGCUCCUUCCAUUUUCCUGUGACUUGUCUUCCUUCCCUUUUGAAGCCCCAGAUGCCCACCCGCUUCUCCUUAGGUCCGGAUGGCACAUAGACCUCAACUGCCUGACUGUCUUUGAGCCUCUCAUGUCUGCAUGAGGCUCCUGUACACACAAAAUCAAAUUUGUUUUUCUCCUGUUGAUCUGUCUUAUGUUGAUUUAAUUAUUGGACUAGCCAAAAGAACCUCGAACGGUAGAGGACAUUUUUUGCCCCCCCUCUACUCUUAUGAAUUGAAACCGACAUUUAUCAUAUGACCCAGCAAUUACAGUCCUGGGUAUUUACCCAAGAGAAAAGAAAGCACACAUGUAUACGAAGACCCGGACACAAAUGGUCACAGAAGCUUUAUUUAUUGUAACUAAAUAUGGGAAGCAACCCAAAUGUUCAUCAAUAGGCAAAUGGAUCAGCAUAUUGUGGCACAGCCAGACCACGGAAUACUGCUUGACAAUAAAUGGAAUGAAUUUCUGAAGCACACAAAAAUGUGGCCAAACCUCAGAAUAUUCUGCUGAGCAAAAAAAGCCAGACACACACACAAAAAAUAGAACAUUCCGUAUGAUUCCACUUAUAUAAAAGUCUAGGAAAUGCAGACUAAUCUACACUGACAGAAAACAGGUCAAUGGGUGUCUGGGGAUGGGGGUGGGGUGGGGUAGGAAGGAAGAAUUACAAGGGGGCACAGGAAACUUUUGGGGUGCCGAUGUGUUCACUAUCUUGCUUGUGGUGGUGGCUUCGCAGAGGUACACACAUGUCAAAACUCACCAGAUUGUGCACUUUCAAGUACGUACAGUUUAUUGUAUGUUAAUUAUGUCUCAAUAGAGCUGUAAGUUAAAAAAAACCCAAAACUCAAACUGUAGACUUGAAAAGUUGAACCAUGUACUUUAUUAAGAGGAUGAGUUGAAUUGUGCAGAAUUGUAUGAUUAUUAGGUAAAUUAUUCCUCAAUAAAUCUGACUUGAAAAAAAUAA